ensembl:lncRNA
AAAGCAGUGGGAGAAGUUGUCUUUAAAAGAAGAAGAAAUCUUAUUCAGAGUGUCUAAAGAUCUAGCUACUGGUAAGAGAUUUCAGUACGUUGCGCCUCAGUCUCUACGGUCAGAUGUCUUGCGAGGCUGCCAUGAAGAUGCUGGUCACCAGGGUCAGCUUCGAACAAUGCACCUGGUCAAACAGAGGUUUUACUGGGCAAACAUGGAGCGUGAUGUGGCCCACCCAUGUGAAGUGCUGCACCAGGUGUGUGUGAUGAGCAAAACGCCAGAGCCUGACGGCCGAGCUCCUCUAGAGAACGUAAAGACAACUGCGCCCCUAGAACUUGUUUGCAUCGAUUUUUGGACUGCAGAAGAAGAGGCAAAGGGCAGGGCAAUGAACGUCUUCGUGGUGACCGACCACUACACAAAGCUGUCCCACGCAUUCUGCUGCUCAGACCAGACGGCGAAUGUUGCUCAGAAGUUAUGGGACUUUUUUUUUUUUUUUUUUUGCUUCUACGGCUUUCCUGAGCGCAUUCACUCUGACCAGGGUCGAAACAACCGGCUUUGCCCCAUUUCUACCUCGUGUUUGGCCGCGUGCCUCCGUGAGGCAAUGCUUCUCGUUGAAAAGAAUACAAGCAGAGAGCAGACACCAAGCUCGAGUCUACAACCGGCAAGUGAAGGGUGGCCAGAUUGUGUGCGGCGACAGAGUGCUGCUUGCUAACAAGGGCGAGAGAGGCCGGAAGAAGUUGGCGGACAAAUGGGAGAAACUUUCCCUAUGUGAUGAAUGGUCUGGAAGAUAUUAAAGCUUGAAAAUGGAUGAAAACCCAUUUUGUGCAAUUUUUGGCAUGCUAUAGCAAAAAAAUGACAGCAUUUAUCAACAUGAAACUAAUUGUUUUGGAAAGAUUAGAUAUUUGUUCUUAACAUAUCAAACAUUUGUGAUUAUUUUUUUUUAAAUAUGGGAUUUUUGUACACGCCCAGCAUUCAAUGGCCUAUGGAAGCAUAUUCAAAUGGUAACAAAAGGUACGUUUAUGACACCGAGCUUAAACUGCACAAAAUGCUUUGAUUAAUGUUUAAUAGUAUCUGUAGUAAAUAUUAUUCCAGUGUCUGGAAUAGCUGAAUUUUGUGUCAACUAUGAGGUGGAAGAAGAGGUUUCAAAGGGCUUCCAGAUCAGUAACAUGACACCUGGCA